rnacentral:misc_RNA from 1 species
GAUGAAGAACGUAGCGAAAUGCGAUAAGUAGUGUGAAUUGCAGAAUUCAGUGAAUCAUCGAAUGUUUGAACGCACAUUGCGCCCCUUGGUAUCCCGAGGGGCAUGCCUGUUCGAGCGUCAUUUCACCACUCAAGCCUGGCUUGGUGUUGGGCGACGUCCCCUUUAGGGACGCGCCUCGAAACGCUCGGCGGCGUGGCACCGGCUUUAAGCGUAGCAGAAUCUUUCGCUUUGGAAGUCGGGGCCCCGCCUGCCGGAAUACCUACUCGUAAGGUUGACCUCGGAUCAGGCAGGGAUACCCGCUGAACUUAAGCAUAUCAAUAAGCGGAGGA